UCUGUUGUAAGGGAAGAACAAGUACAGUAGUAACUGGCUGUACCUUGACGGUACCUUAUUAGAAAGCCACGGCUAACUACGUGCCAGCAGCCGCGGUAAUACGUAGGUGGCAAGCGUUGUCCGGAAUUAUUGGGCGUAAAGCGCGCGCAGGCGGUCCUUUAAGUCUGAUGUGAAAGCCCACGGCUCAACCGUGGAGGGUCAUUGGAAACUGGGGGACUUGAGUGCAGAAGAGGAAAGUGGAAUUCCAAGUGUAGCGGUGAAAUGCGUAGAGAUUUGGAGGAACACCAGUGGCGAAGGCGACUUUCUGGUCUGUAACUGACGCUGAGGCGCGAAAGCGUGGGGAGCAAACAGGAUUAGAUACCCUGGUAGUCCACGCCGUAAACGAUGAGUGCUAAGUGUUAGGGGGUUUCCGCCCCUUAGUGCUGCAGCUAACGCAUUAAGCACUCCGCCUGGGGAGUA
rnacentral:rRNA from 1 species